UAUCCUGGCUCAGGAUGAACGCUGGCGGCGUGCCUAAUACAUGCAAGUCGAACGCAUAUCUUCGGAUAUGAGUGGCGAACGGGUGAGUAAUACAUAAGUAACCUGGCCUUAAGAGGGGGAUAACUAUUAGAAAUGAUAGCUAAGACCGCAUAGGUAUGAAGAUCGCAUGAUCUACAUAUUAAAUAUCCCACGGGAUAGCUGAAGGAUGGACUUAUGGCGCAUUAGCUAGUUGGUAGGGUAACGGCCUACCAAGGCGACGAUGCGUAGCCGACCUGAGAGGGUGGACGGCCACACUGGGACUGAGACACGGCCCAGACUCCUACGGGAGGCAGCAGUAGGGAAUUUUCGGCAAUGGGGGAAGCCCUGACCGAGCAACGCCGCGUGAGGGAGGAAGUAUUUCGGUAUGUAAACCUCUGUUAUAAAGGAAGAACGAUGCAUGUAGGGAAUGACAUGCAAGUGACGGUACUUUAUGAGGAAGCCACGGCUAACUACGUG
rnacentral:rRNA from 1 species